GCGUGACGUUAUUUAUGUUGCUCUUAUAAAUUUUCCGAGUUUUUCAUAGAAAAAGUGAUUUUUCUGUACACUAUUUGAGUGUAUUCUGUUCCUUAAGGCCUGCUUACUCUCCUGAAAAUGGGCUUUAAUUAUAGCAGCACACCAGCACAUAAAGGCCAUCUAAUAGAAGAGACCUGGGUAACUUCUUAUAUAAUCCUGAUAUUUGCUCAUCAUUCUGUUUUAAGAGUUGGUCUUCCAUUAUCUGAUUGAAAAUCUACAACAAAUCGAUGGAUGUGUACAGUUCCAGGGCAGUACAUUUAUCCUUUUGAUGGAUAUUAUUACCAACAAUGCAUCAGGACAUAAGUAUAUCUAAAAUGUUAUUUCUUUUGGGUAAAUACAUAUAUUUUUACUGGUUUUUAAUGUUCAUCAAUGGAUUUCACUAUUUUUAAAUUUAGUUAAUUAGGAAAAAUAUUUCAAUGGGUCUCUCUGUUACGUUUUUAUUGUUCAUUAUUAUUAUAGAAAAAUUCAGACUAUCUGUUUUUAAUUUGGGUCAAUUUUUGUUUUUCGACUAUUUCUUGUUCUUUUUUGGUAAUUUUCUACUCAGAAAGUUGCUUCAUAUUGGUUUAUUUCAUUUCUCCAUAACUAUCUUCACUGCCAUAUUUUCUUGAUUGUGGAAAUAAUAUCACCAUUUAGUCAAUUCCAUAAUUCAUUAAUAAUUGACUGUAUUUCUAUAGGUCUUAUUUGUUUGGUAAAGUCAAAGAUUAUUUGUUAAUAUUUGGUAAAGUAUACCAUCUACUUAAAAGUUUAUGUUGUUUUUGGUUUACUUUUAUUUCUGCAUAAUAACUUGACUCCCAUAUUUUCUUCAUUGUGGGAAUAAUAACAUCAUUCAUUCUUUGUAUUUCUAUAAGUCUUCUUUUAUUUGUAUUAUUUUUCUUAUGGUCAUUUUUCUAAUACUUUUUUUGCUUGUGUAAUUCCUUGUACAGAAUUUCAGUUUUAAUGGAUUCAUUUCCAUGUCAAUUUUUUCAGAUCAUGUGCCAUGCAUUUCUAUAAUUUCUGUAGCGGAUUUUAUUUGUUUAUUUUGCAUGGGUUUAAAUAUAAUUUAAACGCACUUAAUAGUCUCAAAUAGGACUAAUUUCCAAUUAAUUCCUGGCGCAUUCGCCAUUUAUUUAAAAAACUUACUCGUCCAGUUCUGGCUUUUCUAGCCUUUUCACAAUAAAUUUUCCUGAAUAACAUCGACUCCAGAGCAUCAUAGCUAGCCUCCCCUAAGAGGAGGGGACCUGGGUCACCCCCUAACCUUGAUGUUCGGCCAUCGAUGACCUAUGUAGCAUGCAUAGGUACCCAAGGGAGUCACCACCCUCUGGUUUACGAGCUAGGUGUUCUAACGCUAGAGGCUUCGGCCGGAUACGACCUGGCACCCAAGCUACGAGACUUCUUCGUGCACGUAUCCCGUGACGUCUCGACGGUAGAGGGGGCGGGAUAUCGGACACAUUGAAGAUGAUGAGGGGGGUCCGCCUGUAGGGGGUCCCGGUGGAUGUCCGCUCGAUGGGUGACGAGGGUGACCCGAGACGAGGCUGCUUAGCUGGGAUGGGAACUGACUGGUGAGGCUUAAUCGUCGGCCAAGGGUUAAAUCUGAUGAAGGGGGGCGAACCUAUAUGCUCUGGAGGAUUUUUUCUUUACGGGUUUGAUGUCAAAUAUUGACUAGAUAUUUCCGAGAGGAGGCUAAGCAGAGCUUUUUGUCAAUUUUCCAGUUCUUAAUGACCACAUACCUCUUUAUUUUUUAAUAUCAUCUAAAAUUUUUUGCCCCAUCUUGCUUCUGGCCGACCUCUCAUUAUUUUUGUCUGCCAUAUUUUCUUUAUUAAUGGAAUAUUAUCAUUCAUCAAUUCUAUGAACUCUUCCAAAAUUUUUUGUGCCAUUCUUCUGAUACUUUUCUAAGAUAUUAAUUUUAUCGACUAUUAUAGCUUUUUUGUCCAUUUUCAUGCCAUUUUCCCAAUUUAUCCCUCAUUUUUAUGCCACUUUAUCCAAUUCAUCAUGUCUCUGUUUCAUUAUUUUUCACUAAUAUUUUCUUUAUUAUUGGAAUAUCAUCACUCUUCUAUUUGAUUGUCUUGUAUAAUUUUUCUAUAUCAUAUUAUUCAGCCUUUUCUAAGACAUAAAAUUUUUCAAAAUUUCUAUUGCCUGUACAGAAUUAUAUUUUUUAUUCGUUUUUAUGCCAUCUUUUUCAAUCAUCAUAUCUGUCUCACUAUUGUCUCCCAUAGUCUUCAUUAUGGGAAUGUCAUCAUUCAUCAAUUUUAUAAACUUUUCCACUGAUCAAAUUUCUAAGUCUUCUUAUUAUCAAUUAUAUAAAAUUAUAAUAUUUUGUAUCAUUCUUUUGAGCCUUUUCUAAGUUAAUCACUCAUUUUCAUACAUUUUUUUUCAAUUCCACAUAUCUCUAUUUCUGCGUGUCUCUCAUAUUAUCUUCUUUCUAGAAAUCUUUUAUAAAUUUAUGUUUUUCUGAGUUAUCAAUCAUCAUUAUAUAAAAUUUAUUGUUCUUCUAUGUUUAUAUUUUUAAAUAUUUUCUCUUAUUUCUACAUAUUAUUGCUGAUUUUACUGUUAUUCUUCUAAGAAUAUAAUUUUGGAUUCAUUUUUUUGCUGAUUUUCUUUUUGUUCCUUUUCAAAUUGAGUUUUUGUAUGGGAUAUUGUACUGCUUUGGAACAAAGACAGCUGCAGUUCAACCACCCUCUUCGAGAUGCCAUUAGAUUAACUAAAUUCAGCAUUCAACAGCAGAUUGAGAAAGUCAUUCAUCAUUGAAGAGGAAACAAAAUCAUUUUCGAAUCAAGACUUUCCAGAAGGGUAGACUAGCUAGAAGAUUUAUUUACUUCCAUAUAGAGAUCAGAAAGUCCGCCAACACUACCUUGGAUUUUAAUAUACUUUUAUAUUACUAUUGUUAAAAAAAUGUA